AUUGAACGCUGGCGGCAUGCUUUACACAUGCAAGUCGAACGGUAACAGGCCGCAAGGUGCUGACGAGUGGCGAACGGGUGAGUAAUGCAUCGGAACGUGCCCAGUCGUGGGGGAUAACGCAGCGAAAGCUGCGCUAAUACCGCAUACGAUCUAUGGAUGAAAGCGGGGGACCUGUAAGGGCCUCGCGCGAUUGGAGCGGCCGAUGUCAGAUUAGGUAGUUGGUGGGGUAAAGGCUCACCAAGCCGACGAUCUGUAGCUGGUCUGAGAGGACGACCAGCCACACUGGGACUGAGACACGGCCCAGACUCCUACGGGAGGCAGCAGUGGGGAAUUUUGGGACAAUGGGCGCAAGCCUGAUCCAGCAAUGCCGCGUGCAGGAAGAAGGCCUUCGGUUGGUAAACUGACUUUGUUAC
rnacentral:rRNA from 1 species